UACGAGGGAUCCUAGCGUUGUUCGGAAUUAUUGGGCGUAAAGCGGAUGUAGGCGGCUAUGUAAGUCAGAUGUGAAAGCCUGGGGCUCAACCCCAGAAGUGCAUUUGAUACUGAGUAGCUUGAGUGUCGGAGAGGUUACUGGAAUUGUUGGUGUAGUGGUGAAAUACGUAGAUAUCAACAGGAAUACCGGAGGCGAAGGCGGGUAACUGGCCGAACACUGACACUGAGAUCCGAAAGCGUGGGGAGCAAACAGG
rnacentral:rRNA from 1 species